rnacentral:rRNA from 1 species
UACGAAGGGUGCAAACGUUGCUCGGAAUCAUUGGGCGUAAAGCGCACGUAGGCGGCCUUGUAAGUCGGAUGUGAAAUCCCACGGCUCAACCGUGGACGUGCAUUCGAAACUGCUCGGCUCGAGUAUGGAAGAGGGUCGCGGAAUUCCCGGUGUAGAGGUGAAAUUCGUAGAUAUCGGGAGGAACACCAGUGGCGAAGGCGGCGACCUGGGCCAAUACUGACGCUGAGGUGCGAAAGCGUGGGGAGCAAACAGG